AACAUUCGCUUUGAUGAGAUGAUCAAAGGGUUUGGGUUUACACAGACUUAUGGAGAAGCCUGUGUUUACAAGAAAGUGAGUGGGAGCUCUGUAGCAUUUCUCAUAUUAUAUGUGGAUGACAUACUAUUGAUGGGAAAUGAUAUAGAAUUCUUGGAAAGUAUAAAGGCCUAUUUGAAUAAGUGUUUUUCAAUGAAGGACCUUGGAGAAGCUGCUUAUAUAUUAGGCAUCAAGAUCUAUAGAGAUAGAUCAAGACGCCUCAUAGGUCUUUCACAGAGUACAUACCUUGACAAGAUAUUGAAGAAGUUCAAUAUGGAUCAGUCCAAGAAGGGGUUCUUGCCUGUAUUGCAAGGUGUGCAAUUGAGCACGGCUCAA
rnacentral:rRNA from 1 species